GGCGGAGGAGGGAAGCGGACCUCUGGGGGAGGGUCUGUUGGUGGGUCAAACUACCUUACAGCUGCAAAUUUAGGCCCUCGUCAGAGGAGAUACGGUAGGAGGCUUGCUAUAGGAGAGUAUGCACACUGCAUGGGCGUUGGUGCAUGCAGGGGCAUGACCUUGAUGUGUCCUGCCUUCUGCGACGGUUACUGUGCUUAUGAUUGUGAUAACAUGUGUAGGGCCCUCUGCAUCCCCGACCAGGCUUGAAAACUAGAAUAAUGGAGUCGGAAGCAAAGAUUUUUUCUACUGUGCCAACAAGCGUUCAUCUUGUGGAUGUAAACCAUCUCCUUGAAUUGUUUGGACCAGUCUAGGAUUUCUUGACGGCUUGUGACAGUAGGACCUAAGAGUGCCCUGUUGGAGUAUCGUGUUUCUCAUCAUGAUUUGAAAUAAAAGAAUUUGUGUCUGCCUAAAAA